UUGAACGCUGGCGGCAUGCCUUACACCUGCCAGUCGCACGGCAGCACGGGGGGUAACCCCUGGUGGCGAGUGGCGAACGGGUGAGUAAUAUAUCGGAACGUGUCCUGUAGCGGGGGAUAACCUAUCGAAAGAUGGACUAAUACCGCAUACGACCUACGGGUGAAAGCGGAGGACCGCAAGGCUUCGCACUAUAGGAGCGGCCGAUAUCGGAUUAGCUAGUUGGCGGGGUAACGGCCCACCAAGGCGACGAUCCGUAGCUGGUCUGAGAGGACGAUCAGCCACACUGGAACUGAGACACGGUCCAGACUCCUACGGGAGGCAGCAGUGGGGAAUUUUGGACAAUGGGCGCAAGCCUGAUCCAGCCAUGCCGCGUGAGUGAAGAAGGCCUUCGGGUUGUAAAGCUCUUUCGGCGGGGACGAAACGGUUCGUGCUAAUACCACGGACUACUGACGGUACCCGCAGAAGAAGCACCGGCUAACUACGU
rnacentral:rRNA from 1 species